rnacentral:rRNA from 1 species
AGCGAACGCUGGCGGCAGGCUUAACACAUGCAAGUCGAGCGGGCGUAGCAAUACGUCAGCGGCAGACGGGUGAGUAACGCGUGGGAACGUACCUUUUGGUUCGGAACAACCCAGGGAAACUUGGGCUAAUACCGGAUAAGCCCUUACGGGGAAAGAUUUAUCGCCAAAAGAUCGGCCCGCGUCUGAUUAGCUAGUUGGUGAGGUAACGGCUCACCAAGGCGACGAUCAGUAGCUGGUCUGAGAGGAUGAUCAGCCACAUUGGGACUGAGACACGGCCCAAACUCCUACGGGAGGCAGCAGUGGGGAAUAUUGGACAAUGGGCGCAAGCCUGAUCCAGCCAUGCCGCGUGGGUGAUGAAGGCCUUAGGGUUGUAAAGCCCUUUCGGCGGGAAGAUAAUGACGGUACCCGCAGAAGAAGCCCCGGCUAACUUCGUGCCAGCAGCCGCUGU